rnacentral:piRNA from 1 species
UUGGACAGAAAUGGAUUGUCUCAGGUCUC